UACGUAGGGUGCGAGCGUUAAUCGGAAUUACUGGGCGUAAAGCGUGCGCAGGCGGUUCUGCAAGUCAGAUGUGAAAUCCCCGGGCUUAACCUGGGAACUGCGUUUGAAACUACGGAGCUAGAGUACGGCAGAGGGGGGUGGAAUUCCACGUGUAGCAGUGAAAUGCGUAGAUAUGUGGAGGAACACCGAUGGCGAAGGCAGCCCCCUGGGCCGAUACUGACGCUCAGGCACGAAAGCGUGGGGAGCAAACAGG
rnacentral:rRNA from 2 species